UACGGAGGGUGCAAGCGUUAUCCGGAUUCACUGGGUUUAAAGGGUGCGUAGGUGGGCAGGUAAGUCCGUGGUGAAAUCUCUGAGCUUAACUCAGAAACUGCCGUGGAUACUAUUUGUCUUGAAUGUUGUGGAGGUGAGCGGAAUAUGUCAUGUAGCGGUGAAAUGCUUAGAUAUGACAUAGAACACCAAUUGCGAAGGCAGCUCACUACACAAUUAUUGACGCUGAGGCACGAAAGCGCGGGGAUCAAACAGG
rnacentral:rRNA from 1 species